rnacentral:rRNA from 1 species
AAGUAUUAAAGGUCCCGCCUGCCCAGUGAGAUGCCCACUUAAACGGCCGCGGUAUUCUAACCGUGCAAAGGUAGCGUAAUCACUUGUCUUCUAAAUAAAGACCAGUAUGAACGGCUAAAUGAGGACAAACCUGUCUCUUAUAACCAAUCAGUGAAACUGAUCUUCCAAUACAAAAGUUGGAAUACACACAUAAGACGAGAAGACCCCGUGGAGCUUAAAACUAACCACUAACCCGCACCUAAACCUAGUACCCUGUUUUAAGUUGGGGCGACUUCGGAAUAAAACAAAACUUCCGAGCACAGAACCACCACUUCUAACCAAGACCCACAAGUCUAAGUAACACCCGACCCGGCCCAUGCCGAUCAACGAACCAAGUUACCCCGGGGAUAACAGCGCUAUCUUCUUCAAGAGUCCCUAUCAACAAGAAGGUUUACGACCUCGAUGUUGGAUCAGGACACCCAAAUGGUGCAGCCGCUAUUAAAGGUUCGUUUGUUCAACGAUUAACAGUCCUACGUGAUCUGAGUUCAGACCGGAG